rnacentral:ncRNA from 2 species
UAGCAUCCGCCCCGCAAUGGUUCCGAAGGCGAAUAGCCGGAGGAUGAAAAGGGAACCCGGUUAAAUACCGGGGCUGCCCCCGCAACUGUAAGCAGAGAGUUCUGCCCAACCACGCCACUGGCGCUCCACCUCGGAGGCCGGGAAGGCUGGGAAAGAACAGUGACCUGCGAGCCAGGAGACCUGCCAUUGCCCGUCAACGCGA